CCUACGGGAGGCAGCAGUGGGGAAUUUUGGACAAUGGGCGCAAGCCUGAUCCAGCAAUGCCGCGUGAGUGAAGAAGGCCUUCGGGUUGUAAAGCUCUUUUGUCAGGGAAGAAACGGUCUACUCUAAUACAGUGGGCUAAUGACGGUACCUGAAGAAUAAGCACCGGCUAACUACGUGCCAGCAGCCGCGGCAAUACGUAGGGUGCAAGCGUUAAUCGGAAUUACUGGGCGUAAAGCGUGCGCAGGCGGUUAUAUAAGUCAGAUGUGAAAUCCCCGGGCUCAACCUGGGAACUGCAUUUGAGACUGUAUGGCUAGAGUGUGUCAGAGGGGGGUAGAAUUCCACGUGUAGCAGUGAAAUGCGUAGAUAUGUGGAGGAAUACCGAUGGCGAAGGCAGCCCCCUGGGAUAACACUGACGCUCAUGCACGAAAGCGUGGGGAGCAAACAGGAUUAGAUACCCUGGUAGUCCACGCCCUAAACGAUGUCUACUAGUUGUCGGGACUUAAUUGUCUUGGUAACGCAGCUAACGCGUGAAGUAGACCGCCUGGGGAGUACGGUUGCAAGAUUAAAACUCAAAGGAUUGACGGCUUGAGACGNGCGAGACGACGACGAGGAGGAGG
rnacentral:rRNA from 1 species